rnacentral:rRNA from 1 species
GACGAACGCUGGCGGCGUGCUUAACACAUGCAAGUCGAACGGCAAGGCCCUUCGGGGUACACGAGUGGCGAACGGGUGAGUAACACGUGGGUGAUCUGCCCUGCACUUCGGGAUAAGCCUGGGAAGCUGGGUCUAAUACCGGAUAGGACUCCGGACUGCAUGGUCUGGGGUGGAAAGCUUUUGCGGUGUGGGAUGGGCCCGCGGCCUAUCAGCUUGUUGGUGGGGUGAUGGCCUACCAGGGCGACGACGGGUAGCCGGCCUGAGAGGGUGACCGGGCACACUGGGACUGAGAUACGGCCCAGACUCCUACGGGAGGCAGCAGUGGGGAAUAUUGCACAAUGGGCGCAAGCCUGAUGCAGCGACGCCGCGUGAGGGAUGACGGCCCUCGGGUUGUAAACCUCUUUCAGCACAGACGAAGCGCAAGUGACGGUAUGUGCAGAAGAAGGACCGGCCAACUACGUGCCAGCCGCCGCAGUAA